UGAAGCAGCGCGGGAGAGACCACCAGGCUCGAUGACGCGCAGGUGGCGCCGAAGGGGCAACCUCCCCGGAACCUCUCAGGCACCCAGACCUCGCUGCGAUG
rnacentral:ncRNA from 2 species